AAUAGAUACCCUGGUAGUCCACGCCGUAAGCGAUGAGUGCUAAGUGUUAGAGGGUUUCCGCCCUUUAGUGCUGCAGCUAACGCAUUAAGCACUCCGCCUGGGGAGUACGGCCGCAAGGCUGAAACUCAAAGGAAUUGACGGGGGCCCGCACAAGCGGUGGAGCAUGUGGUUUAAUUCGAAGCAACGCGAAGAACCUUACCAGGUCUUGACAUCCUCUGCCAACCCUAGAGAUAGGGCGUUCCCCUUCGGGGGACAGAGUGACAGGUGGUGCAUGGUUGUCGUCAGCUCGUGUCGUGAGAUGUUGGGUUAAGUCCCGCAACGAGCGCAACCCUUGAUCUUAGUUGCCAGCAUUCAGUUGGGCACUCUAAGGUGACUGCCGGUGACAAACCGGAGGAAGGUGGGGAUGACGUCAAAUCAUCAUGCCCCUUAUGACCUGGGCUACACACGUGCUACAAUGGAUGGUACAAAGAGCUGCGAACCCGCGAGGGUAAGCGAAUCUCAUAAAGCCAUUCUCAGUUCGGAUUGU
rnacentral:rRNA from 1 species